rnacentral:rRNA from 1 species
ACUCCUACGGGAGGCAGCAGUAAGGAUAUUGGGCAAUGGAUGAGAGUCUGACCCAGCCAUGCCGCGUGCGGAUGAAGGCCCUACGGUCGUAACCGCUUUACAGAGGAAGAAAAGUCCCACUUGUGGGAUCGUGACGGUACUCUGCGAAUAAGCACCGGCUAACUCCGUGCCAGCAGCCGCGGUAAUACGGAGGGUGCGAGCGUUUAUCCGGAAUCACUGGGUUUAAAGGGUGCGCAGGCGGCCGUUUAAGUCAGGAGUGAAAGACCCCGCUCAACGGGGAGCUGCUCUUGAUACUGGACGGCUCGGAUCGGGAUGAGGUCGGCGGAAUGUGGCAUGUAGCGGUGAAAUGCAUAGAUAUGCCAUGGAACACCAAUUGCG